rnacentral:rRNA from 1 species
UACGAAGGGAGCUAGCGUUGUUCGGAAUUACUGGGCGUAAAGAGCGCGUAGGCGGUUUGUAAAGUUGGGAGUGAAAGCCCAGGGCUUAACCCUGGAAAUGCUCUCAAAACUCACAAACUAGAGAUUGGUAGAGGAUGGUGGAAUUCCUAGUGUAGAGGUGAAAUUCGUAGAUAUUAGGAAGAACACCAGUGGCGAAGGCGGCCCGCUGGGCCGAUACUGACGCUGAGACGCGAAAGCGUGGGGAGCAAACAGG